rnacentral:lncRNA from 1 species
GUCAGCACUGUGUAGGUAGUUUGUGAGAGAGCUUUGUGCCUUAGUUUUAAGAACAAAUCGACAUGAUGGUGCAGUUGUUGUUUUUGUUUGGCGUGCUUUCUUUAAGUUUCGUGCUAAUUUUCACGUCCAAAUCAGAAUAUGAUUGAAACAUUUUUGCUUAAAAAUGAUUCCACAGCGAUGACAAAAUACUCUCGAAAAGGGUGAUAAAAACGUAAAAUAUUAAUAAAUAUUGUGAUUUUACACAGAUAGAGUGUCACGAGUUUUGAGCGCGAUGUUCCGCAAAGUCUCUGAUUACUCCAACUCAGAAUCGUUACUUUGUAAGGGAUGUGGCCAUACCUCUAGAAGUAGUGUCUACGUUUCUAACAGCUGCGAGACCGAAGAAACCAUUAACGAAAGCUCACUGCACGCUGUAUGAAGGAAAUCAACUAAUUACAUGCCUGGAUGUCGGCUGGAGGAUAAGAGAUAUUAAAAUUAGAUCAUAAGAGUUUCGGAGACGCCCAAAAACGGACGAAAGGCGUUCAUGGUUGAGUAUUUCGAGUUGUGCGAGAACAAAGAUUAUCCUUGGUCGACUACAAACUUCUCCUUCGUCCGCGAUGACACGUCAAUUCACAUGAACGGCUUGGUACUUGUGACCAGGGACAUUCGAGACCCCAUUGCGUUGCAGAUCAAGAUGGAUAGAUGCAAAGAUAGGACAGACCUAAGCUCUUGUGAACACGUGACAAGUAUUAAAUGGCCAGACCUCUGCGGCGCAGUCAAGCUUGUCCCUCCAAUUAGGAUUUUUUUUGACGCUUUUGAGCCUCCCUUGGCUUGUCCAGUUAAGAAGAAUCGUUAUUUUGUGAGAGAUGUGGUCCUACCUCUAGAUAUAGUGUCUACAUUUCUAACCACUGCGAGACAGAAGAAACAAUUAUCAAAAGUUCGCUGCACAAUGUAUGAAGGAAAUCAACUAAUUUCUUGCCUGGAUGCCGGCUGGAGGAUAAGAGAUAUUAAAAUUAGAUCAUAAGAGUUUCGGUGACGCCCAGGAACGUCGGUGUCUAUAAAAAAAGCACAUUUUAUGCCUUUAAAAUUUUUUAUGUAUUGAAUUCCAAAAGUAAGUUUAAUGACUCAGCACCAUUAAGACUAAUCAAUUUUCCUUCAUUCCAAACUAGCUGAGAAAAGUUGUAUCACUUUAUGUCUAAACUAGUUUUACUAUACGGGCUUUUCAUAUAAAUAUUUAAGUAAAUAGGAUUAAAGUUUGGUAACUAAUGCUACGUUAAUAAACACUUAAAAAUUGAAAAUAAGUGGAAACUCUUGUUGGAAAAAACUAUACAUUGCAACCGUACAUGGCACUUGCAGUCAAAGAGCUUUUUUUUACCUCGAGCGUUAUGAUACCUGCGUUAUGAUACACAACAUGAAAUUUGUAAUCGAAGGUUUGCACUGUAUUCUUGGCUAUAAAAUCUUAAACUGUCCCUGGGUUUUCUUCAUUAUGCACCAUUUUCCCAGAUAAUUGAGUGCUCCUCAAAAAACUUCAUUUUUCCAGGAAAAUCUAUAGUCUUUGCAGGCUUGAAAGAAUGAUUUAUUCUAUAUUUCUUUGCCCUAUUUCAUAAAUUGUGAAGAACUCACAGUUUUAAUAAAGUGAAAAUGAUAUUGACGUGUUGAAUUUUACGUAUAUUCAUACGUAAUUCAUACGUAAAAUUCAAGGCACGAGUUUUAUUUCGAUCAGCGUACAUAAAAUCAUGGAU